rnacentral:tRNA from 1 species
UGCGGGUUGAUGUAAUGGUAACAUGUUUGGCUCAUGUCCAAUAUAUAGGGGUUCGAUUCCUUUACCCGCAC